rnacentral:rRNA from 1 species
GAUGAACGCUGGCGGCGUGCCUAAUACAUGCAAGUAGAACGCUGAAGCUUGGUGCUUGCACCGAGCGGAAGAGUUGCGAACGGGUGAGUAACGCGUAGGUAACCUGCCUCUUAGCGGGGGAUAACUAUUGGAAACGAUAGCUAAUACCGCAUAAAAGUCGGCAUUGCAUGAUGUUGACUUGAAAGGUGCAAAUGCAUCACUAAGAGAUGGACCUGCGUUGUAUUAGCUAGUUGGUGAGGUAACGGCUCACCAAGGCGACGAUACGUAGCCGACCUGAGAGGGUGAUCGGCCACACUGGGACUGAGACACGGCCCAGACUCCUACGGGAGGCAGCAGUAGGGAAUCUUCGGCAAUGGACGGAAGUCUGACCGAGCAACGCCGCGUGAGUGAAGAAGGUUUUCGGAUCGUAAAGCUCUGUUGUAAGAGAAGAACGAGUGUGAGAGUGGAAAGUUCACACUGUGACGGUAACUUACCAGAAAGGGACGGCUAACUACGUGCCAGCAGCCGCGGUAAUACGUAGGUCCCGAGCGUUAUCCGGAUUUAUUGGGCGUAAAGCGAGCGCAGGCGGUUAGAUAAGUCUGAAGUUAAAGGCUGUGGCUUAACCAUAGUACGCUUUGGAAACUGUUUAACUUGAGUGCAGAAGGGGAGAGUGGAAUUCCAUGUGUAGCGGUGAAAUGCGUAGAUAUAUGGAGGAACACCGGUGGCGAAAGCGGCUCUCUGGUCUGUAACUGACGCUGAGGCUCGAAAGCGUGGGGAGCAAACAGG